rnacentral:rRNA from 1 species
CCUAGCUUGCUAAGCUUGUUUUUAGUGGCGCACGGGUGAGUAACACGUGAGUUACCUGCCCCCAAGAGUGGGAUAGCCCCGGGAAACUGGGAUUAAUACCGCAUAAUAUCGCAAGAUUAAAGGUGCAAACCGCUUGGGGAUGGGCUCGCGGCCUAUUAGUUAGUUGGUGAGGUAACGGCUCACCAAGGCGAUGACGGGUAGCCGGUCUGAGAGGAUGUCCGGCCACACUGGAACUGAGACACGGUCCAGACACCUACGGGUGGCAGCAGUCGAGAAUCAUUCACAAUGGGGGAAACCCUGAUGGUGCGACGCCGCGUGGGGGAGCGAAGGUCUUCGGAUUGUAAACCCCUGUCAAGUGGGAGCAAAUUAAAAAGAUAGUACCACUAGAGGAAGAGACGGCUAACUCUGUGCCAGCAGCCGCGGUAAUACAGAGGUCUCAAGCGUUGUUCGGAAUCACUGGGCGUAAAGCGUACGUAGGCGGCUUGGUAAGUCGUGUGUGAAAGGCAGGGGCUCAACCUCUGGACUGCACAUGAUACUGCCAGGCUAGAGUAAUGGAGGGGAAACCGGAAUUCUCGGUGUAGCAGUGAAAUGCGUAGAUAUCGAGAGGAACACUCGUGGCGAAGGCGGGUUUCUGGACAUUAACUGACGCUGA